UACAUGUGGGGCAAGCGUUGUUCGGAAUUACUGGGCAUAAAGGGUGCGUAGGUGGUUUGUUAAGUCAGGGGUGAAAUCUCGGAGCUUAACUCCGAAACUGCAUUCGAUACUGCCGUGCUUGAGGACUGGAGAGGAGACUGGAAUUUACGGUGUAGCGGUGAAAUGCGUAGAUAUCGUAAGGAAGACCAGUGGCGAAGGCGGGUCUCUGGACAGUUCCUGACGCUGAGGCACGAAGGUCAGGGGAGCAAACGGG
rnacentral:rRNA from 1 species